AUCCUGGCUCAGAACGAACGCUGGCGGCGUGGAUAAGACAUGCAAGUCGAACGAGAGAAUUGCUAGCUUGCUAAUAAUUCUCUAGUGGCGCACGGGUGAGUAACACGUGAGUAACCUGCCCCCGAGAGCGGGAUAGCCCUGGGAAACUGGGAUUAAUACCGCAUAGUAUCGAAAGAUUAAAGCAGCAAUGCGCUUGGGGAUGGGCUCGCGGCCUAUUAGUUAGUUGGUGAGGUAACGGCUCACCAAGGCGAUGACGGGUAGCCGGUCUGAGAGGAUGUCCGGCCACACUGGAACUGAGACACGGUCCAGACACCUACGGGUGGCAGCAGUCGAGAAUCAUUCACAAUGGGGGAAACCCUGAUGGUGCGACGCCGCGUGGGGGAAUGAAGGUCUUCGGAUUGUAAACCCCUGUCAUGUGGGAGCAAAUUAAAAAGAUAGUACCACAAGAGGAAGAGACGGCUAACUCUGUGCCAGCAGCCGCGGUAAUACAGAGGUCUCAAGCGUUGUUCGGAAUCACUGGGCGUAAAGCGUGCGUAGGCUGUUUCGUAAGUCGUGUGUGAAAGGCGCGGGCUCAACCCGCGGACGGCACAUGAUACUGCGAGACUAGAGUAAUGGAGGGGGAACCGGAAUUCUCGGUGUAGCAGUGAAAUGCGUAGAUAUCGAGAGGAACACUCGUGGCGAAGGCGGGUUCCUGGACAUUAACUGACGCUGAGGCACGAAGGCCAGGGGAGCGAAAGGGAUUAGAUACCCCUGUAGUCCUGGCAGUAAACGGUGCACGCUUGGUGUGCGGGGAAUCGACCCCCUGCGUGCCGGAGCUAACGCGUUUAAGCGUGCCGCCUGGGGAGUACGGUCGCAAGAUUAAAACUCAAAGAAAUUGACGGGGACCCGCACAAGCGGUGGAGUAUGUGGCUUAAUUCGAUGCAACGCGAAGAACCUUACCUGGGCUUGACAUGUAAUGAACAACAUGUGAAAGCAUGCGACUCUUCGGAGGCGUUACACAGGUGCUGCAUGGCCGUCGUCAGCUCGUGUCGUGAGAUGUUUGGUUAAGUCCAGCAACGAGCGCAACCCCUGUUGCCAGUUACCAGCACGUGAAGGUGGGGACUCUGGCGAGACUGCCCAGAUCAACUGGGAGGAAGGUGGGGACGACGUCAGGUCAGUAUGGCCCUUAUGCCCAGGGCUGCACACGUACUACAAUGCCCAGUACAGAGGGGGCCGAAGCCGCGAGGCGGAGGAAAUCCUAAAAACUGGGCCCAGUUCGGACUGUAGGCUGCAACCCGCCUACACGAAGCCGGAAUCGCUAGUAAUGGCGCAUCAGCUACGGCGCCGUGAAUACGUUCCCGGGUCUUGCACUCACAACCCGUCA
rnacentral:rRNA from 1 species